UAGUUUAAAACCCAUCUAAAUCAUUGGUUGCACUUAGAUUAAGUGAGUACUUGCAUUCUCGGUGCUUUGAUAUCCCUCAGAACUGGUUCGACAAUCUUUUAUACUACAACAUUUGUCUUAGGAGCCUUGAAAACUCCUAACAUCAGAAAACUUAGGGUUAAGAUUUAUUUGUACUUCAGCUUUAAUAGAUUAGAUGAGAUGGAUUACUCAUUCUUUUUUUAUUGUAACUGGUGAACAUUUUAUAGAAUGAGAAAAAUUUAAGUAUUCAGGAAAUUUCUAUUUCAAAAAUGCAUUAUAGUUACACGUGAAUCCAUUUUUCCUGGACCAUUUGGAAUUUGGGAUGACCUUGAAUCGGGUCAAACACAUGCCAGUAUCGGAAGAAUUUUGAUCACCAAGAAGCCUAAAGAGUCUUGGACCAAAACCUUUCCAACUUCCUAUUUAUUUUAGAAUCAAAACCUUUUAUUACGUUGAGAAGUUUCAAAGCCUAAAAAAGCAUAUGGUAGGAAUAAAAGGAUUAGGUGAACUGAGUGGGAGUACAAUGAGCAAUUUGAAGAUCUUUGUGAUUAUAGCUCGGAAAUGGCAUUGAAUGAGACUUUUUCAGUUGAAUUUGAUUCAUUGAGAAUAAAGACAUCAAUGAUAUUUUUAACAGGUUAUAUGUCUGUUUUGACAUCCGUAGAAGAGCUUGAAAGAUACGUGUAGACCUGCUUCUUGGAGUAGAUAGAUGUUUCUUCAAGUCGAAAGAUGAAAAUUUAGUUGUUGAUUUCUUUGGGUCGUGAUGCAGAUAAUGUGAUUCGCCAAAUCAGAUGGACUGUGGUACAAGUUGAAAACAAGGAUAAUUGGUCAUCGUUUAUGAAGAAGAUCAAAGUUAACAUAGGACUCGAAGAUGGUGAUGUUAUAUUUAUGGUUUCCGAUAAAAGUUAAUAUUUUACUUGUAUGGCUUAACCCGAGACAGACUUAGUGAGCUUGAGUCUCAGCCUCUAUCUCCUGCCCAUCUGCAUGUUCCCAUGCCCAUUGAUCUUGGCUUUAUUUACUUUAUUUUGUUUGAGUAGAUACCAUUUUUUUACUACAUGUUUAUUUAUCAUACAAAUUUGUUUUAACCUCAGAUGCUAGAUUGGAGUUCACCAAUGUUUACUUUAUUUUCUUUGAGUAUAUACUAUAUUUUUACUACACGUAUAUUUAUAUAUAUAAAAAAAUGUUUGCUUCUCUCCUGUUACGCCUCGUCACUAAGUCAAUUACUCUGGGUACAACACCUGUCCAUCUCCUAAAUUCGCUGUGUUUCAUUAAUUGAUGCACGAUAUAAUUGGGCUUAAUUUGGUUUGUGGGCUUCAUUUGUUGCUCCACAAUCCAGUCUCAUAGCAAGAAACCUAAGCCUUUUUCUCAAUCCAGGUCGCAUAGAAUUUUAGGGUUCACCGUAUUCUUCCCUCUUCUGUAUCUAAACCGCCAUUGGAGUACCCAGAAGAGUUAUGUGAAAUGAAUCUUUAUGGUGACUCUCUGGAUCGAGCAGAUUUUGUGAUGUUUUGUAUGAGUUUCUUCUUCUCUAACCCAUUACGAACUUCGAAAGGGUUAAUGGACUCUCUGAUUCCGUUUUUCCUCUACAACCUCUAAAGAAUCAUAAAGUUUAUCUAUUUACUGCAACAAUCCAAACGACAUGAAUUUAUUUCAAUGACAUCACAUCCACCCUAUAUAUAUAUCAUUCAUUGUUGCUUCUCACCUUACCGAAUCAGGCUAAGCAAAUUAUCAGAGGAAACGGUGGAAAUCAGAUCGGCAAAAUCAACUAGAAAUGUACUUAAAUCUCUGUUCUUCGGUGAUGUUAUGCUGGUUUGGGACCGUAUGAGCUACACUUUUGAUUGAUAUAUGUUCUGGGAAGCAAGGAAUAAAAGGAAAGGUGGCUUCCUAAUUGGACUGGAUCUGCUUCAUAUAGAUGAACAGCGUUUCAUUUCUUCAAACCGUGUAGCCCGUUACGAAGGUCACUUAAAGCGUGGAAAGACCUAAAGUUGUUGCUUCACGGUGUAUCAAGAAAGCUGUCUGGUGAUAUUUAUGAUCGACGGUGAAGAGUUUUGGCUCGGAUGCUUUCUGCCCAGCUGGCGAGAUACCUCACUGAGUCGAGAUAGACACGAGGCUACGAAUGGAGAAGGAGAUGGCGGUUAAAAGGUGGGUGGUCUGAGUUGUUCCACCGAGUCAUCCCGGGUUGGAAUUUGAGUUCAAGACUGUAAAUGUAAAUAAGAGAGGAGCAUUUUGUCUGAUGAAAAGAGCGAUAAUGUGAGCUGACUUUUUGACUGAAGGAAAAUUAAAUUCAUGUAAUAAUAUAACUCAUAAUAUAUAUAUUUUAUAAACAGUUAAAAAUCAUAAUCACAAAAAUAAUGAUAUCUACUUAUGAUUUUUAACGUAUAACAAGGUCAACGAAAAAUAUUAUACACUUUGCUAAAUAUAUAAUUAACUAAAUAUAA